AAGAAGACGACAGUGAGAGGGGGUCCUCCAGCAGGGGGCAGCAGAGGACGCUAACUGCUGACAGGUUAAAGCUACAGAAUUAGAAAUUAUUUUAUCACAAAUAAAAACCUAAACGCUGCAGCUUUGCCUCUAUAAAGUGACGUUAUUAUUAUGAUUGGUUUCUGAAUUUAAGGAGAGAAAAAUCUGCCUGCAGCUGGAGAUUUUAGUAGAUUAGCUAAUCUAGAACAACCAGAUUGGCAGUGUGUGUGUGUGUGUGUGUGUGUGUAUGGUGUGUAGGUGUGUGUAUGGUGUGUAGGUGUGUGUGUAGGUGUGUAUGGUGUGUAGGUGACAGCUGGGUUUCUGCAUUAUUUGUUACGAUAAUGCAGGUGUGGAUGCACUGAAGAGGUAAUCAGCCCAAACAGAUGGGGAGGAGAUGGAAAGAGGGAGGAAUGGCCCUCACUGCCUCAGGAAAACACAGCAACAACAAUCUGCACACAUGCACAUGUGAAGAGUUAAAACUGAGUGAGCUGCACUCAGUGAACUGAUCUGAUCAGAGUCUGAUCGGCUGUCUGCACGCCGUCACAGAUGGAGGUGUUAACAGUCACUACAUGGCUCUAACGGCUGAUUGGAGGAGAGGACAGAGAGAAAGGAGGGAGAGUGGGGGGGUCAGAGGAUAGAUAUGGAAAAGGAAGAAAAAAUUACCAACGUCAUUUGACCUGCAGCAGCAGUCAUUAUUUCCCACAGUUCCUACGUCUGGAAAAUAUGCAACAUACACACAAACAACAACAACAUGUAGCCUUGAAGCAGUAACACAGUGAGGGCCGAGGCGGGCGGGCGGGCGGCGGCGGCCCGCCGUCACCCACCGGCGCAAAUCCAACCAGCUACAUGCUAAACAUCAGCUUCACUUCAAAA